UCCCCUGUAGCUCAGUGGUAGAGCAGCUGACUGUUAAUCAGCGGGUCGUUGGUUCGAGUCCAGCCGGGGGAG
rnacentral:tRNA from 1 species